GGACUACUGGGGUAUCUAAUCCUGUUUGAUCCCCACGCUUUCGAGCCUCAGCGUCAGUUACAGUUUCGUCAGCUGCCUUCGCAAUCGGUGUUCUGUGUCAUAUCUAUGCAUUUCACCGCUACAUGACACAUUCCGCCAACGGCAUCUGUACUCAAGUCCUACAGUAUCAAUGGCACGUCUAUCGUUAAGCGAUAGGAUUUCACCACUGACUUAUAAGACCGCCUACGCUCCCUUUAAACCCAAUAAAUCCGGAUAACGCUCGCAUCCUUCGUAUUACCGCGGCUGCUGGCAC
rnacentral:rRNA from 2 species